GGCGCCGUGGCUUAGCUGGUCAAAGCGCUCGUCUUGUAAAAACAAGAGAUCCUGGGUUCGAAUCCCAGCGGUGCCU